CAAGCCUUCUCUCCACUAGCCCGAUGGUCUUCAAUGUGCUCUGACCCCCACAGUCCCCAAGAGUCCUGCUGAAAAUAAAUACAACCUGCCCUGUGUGUCUCCACCACAAGAGGAGCAGGCGGCAGGGGUAAGAACUGGCUUCUCUGGGGGACCUUCUCCAAAGGACACCAUUUAUUUACUCAGCAAAUAUUUACUGAGCAAAAUGGGAGGAGGCAGUGCAUUCCAGGGAGAGAGAACAGUUUGAAAGAAGCUAAAGAAGAACGAAAAAUGGGCAUGUAUGGAGUCCAGUGAGUAGUGAAAUUCAGGAGAUAAAAUCUGGAAGAGAGGAGAAAAUCAAUCAAGAAGAGCUUGAAUGCUUGGCAAAGGAAUUUGGGCAUAUUUCAACAGGCAAGGAGGAGCCAAAGAAAGAUUUUGAGCAAGAGAUGGACACAAUCAAAAUAGCUCAUUAGGAAAAAUAAUUUGACAGUAGUGUCUAAAAUGGACUGUGAUAAAGAAUAAUCAUAUCAUGCAGCCAGCAAUGAUUGAGUACUUACUAUGCACCCAACACCAUGCCAAGCCCUUUAUGCACAUUGUUUCAUUCAAUAAAAGCAAUACAUAAUGCAUUCAAGACUCAGUGCCUAGCACAUGGUGUUUUCCAAUCCUUGCAAUCAUCCUAUGAGUUCAAUAUUAUUAUUAUCUCACUUUUACAGAUAUUGCUUGAGGAGCGAAGAGGUUAAAUAUGUAUACACAAGGUCAAAAAGUAAUAAGUAGCUGAGCCAGGAUUUAAACUCAGGUUGGUCUGACUCCAAAACUGACUCUCAAGGAAGGGAGAUGUUAGGAAGCAAUUGCAAAAGUCCUGACAAGGGGGCCGACCCCGUGGCCAAGUGGUUAAGUUCUCGUGCUCCGCUUUGAUGGCCUGGGGUUUCGCUGGUUCAGAUCCUGGGCACGGACAUGGCACUGCUCAUCAGGCCACGUUGAGGCAGUGUCCCACGUGCUACAACUAGAAGGACCUGCAACUAAGAUAUACAACAAUGUACUGGGGGGAUUUGGGGAGAUAAAGCAGAAAAAACAAAAGAUUGGCAACUGGUGCCAGGUGUUAGCUCAGGUGCCAAUCUUUACCAAAAAAAAAGUGCUGACGAGUGAUGAUGAACUGGAGGAGAGGCAGGAGAGAAGGAAAAGAGAAAAUGGAUGUACAACUAAAUUUGGAUACCCAGCAGACAUGACAUAACAAUUGAUUGAUAGACUAGUAGAGAGAGAGAAUGGUCAAAGAUGGCCCAAGUUCUGGAGCAUGGUUGGCCAACAGAAAGAUGGCACAAUAAUGAAAAUCAAGAACAUAAGAGGGUGGCUGUACCAUUUUGCAUUCCUCCCAGCAAUGUAUUGGAACAAUGUUCUAACAUGUGAAAGCACCCUCGUCAGCACUUGGAUAGAACCUGAUAAACGACAAGCAUUCUGCAAACAUCCCAUAGAAAUCACCUCCUAGAUUCUGAGCCAGUGACAUUUGCUGAGUUCUGCACUAUCAACCGGAUCUCUUUGUUUUCUUCUUCUGUUUUGAAUCCACACCUAAAAUGGGACAAAAUCUACCAGCCAGAAUAACCUGAUUGAGAAAUCAGCCAUAACUGGUUUUCUUGGCUGUAGACUCUUCAGGAAAGAAUGUGAAGUAUUUUUCCCACAUCCUCCCAGGAGGGCCACCAGGGGCUCCAGUCCUGGAGGUCGAGGAGCAUUGGAGCUGGUUCUGCAGUUGGGGAGUGGGAGUAGCCUUACCUGUCGGACAGUGACUUCCAGUAUCUGAGAAGAGGGUGGGAGAUCAUGAGCGUCCACAAGUGGCAGAAGUUGAGAUCCAAAUGGAACACACACACCCUCCCACCUCCCAGGAUGGCAAAACCUGGUACAGAGAUGGCUGUAAGGAGGAGGCUGGAAGAAAGACCACUAAGUGGCCAGUUAUUGGGCAAAGCCACUGUGAGUGGGCAGCUCACCAGCCUGCCUGGAGAAGCAGUGCCCACAGACAGGAAGCACCAGCAUUCAGCAAGGAGCACAAGGAGCAACUGUAACUGUGGCCAUCUCUACUGAAUAAGGACCAGCUGCCCCAGUUCUACAAGAUCGAGUCCUUUGCUUGUUUGGGAGAUUUUUUGUGCCUUUUGUUUUUGUAAAAUCCAACGUUCCGAGGGAAGAAGCCCUAAUAAUGACAUUAAAUUUCUCACUAACUGUGGAUGGGACUUGGGACCAGAUUUAAAUAAACUUGGACAAAUAAAGAACAUUGGCAUUUUGUUUCCCAUCAAGUGUCUUGGAGCUAUUCAUUCCUCACUUACAUGUGACACCAUGAGGGACAUUCAUGUG
ensembl:lncRNA